ACUCCAGCAGCCACCUCCAGUUUCCCACUGCAGGUGAGAUAAAUCUCAGCUUAAAAAACAGCUUUUUUUUUUUUUUUUUCCCCAGGAAAAGGCUCCUGACGAGGACACCGAAAGCUGGGACGUGGCGGCGCUGCCACUCUCUGCAGAGUGGGAUGUCCCCGGGGAGACAGCACAAGUUAUUCUUGACAGCUCCUCGCCCCGUAAUUGUUCCCCGAGCUGGAGGUGGGAGAUGGGUAUGGAUGUGGUCCCGGGGCGCAGCUCGCAGAGGGUCUUUGGCUCUCCAUCCUUUUGAGGAGCAGGCAGAUGGCAUCAGGAGACACCGCAGUGUCCCAGGACGUCGCCUCCUGCUCCAGUCCCCUCAGAAGAACCCGUGGCCGCAGCCUCCAUGUGCAGUUUGAAUUUGGAGCUCGGAGCCGUGCUGCGCCUGGAGCCAACCCAGCUGGCUGAGAGACGUCACCGCGAUUAUUUCAGUUAACUCGAUUUACUGCUAUUACUGUCAGCCGGACCUAACGACCCGACACGGAGCAGCAGCCCUUAGAGGACCCAUUUCUAAUUAAUUUUAGCUCAUAAACUAAUUAAUGGAUUUACUUGUAAA